AUGUGCCGGCACAAGAAUGCGGAUGGCGAGCUUGUGUACCAACAACACAGACAACUCACGUCCGAGUUCAUUGCUUACAGGUUAUCCAACCAAAUAUCCACACUUCCAAUAAUGAGCAUCAAGAGUGUCAUUGACCUUGUGAAAGUCAUCUUUCAUUACAAGGUGAAGUACGGCAAGGCAUGGAAGGCGAAGCAAGCCGCAUUCAAGAUGUUGUAUGGCAAUUGGGAGGAAGCAUACAACCGACUCCCUAGGUUGUUGUUAGCUAUGGCCGCCACAAACCCAGGCAUGGUUCACGUGGUUGAGCCUCAUGGGCACCAAACAUUGAUUCAUAACGGGAGGACCAUCCGAGUAUUUAUCCGUGCAUUUUGGGCCUUUGAGCAAUGCGUGAGGGCUUUUGAGCAUUGUCGGCCCGUCAUCGCCAUUGAUGGCACGUUCUUGACCGGAUAA
rnacentral:rRNA from 1 species